AACAUAGCAAUCUGUUACUCUUUUUCUUUGGGACUGGAAUGUAUGCCCUGUAUUGCAUGCAUCAUUAUGAGUUACAAUACCUCCCGUGUAAAGGUUUAGUCUUACAGCAUGUGUAUCUAUAAAUUAACAUAAAUUGCCACAUGGAAAGUCACUAAAGCAGUUGUUCUGCUUAGUUAAGAUUGAUAAUUGGACUCUGAGCUAUUCAAAAAUUCAUGGGAUGAAGUAUAUUGAGCUACAUCCCAAACACUGUGAAUAGGCUGAAAAUCAAAAUUUGACUUACAUGUUAACUACUUAUCAUAUUUUUGAAUCAAACUGUCAUCUUAUUUAAAAAUGUCUAUUACUGUGCUGAAGGAAGUGUUAAGCCUCAUUAGCCUUUCUGGAAACCACAUUUUUGCAAUAAAAAAAGAGAAAAAGAAACCAACAAACUAAUAUACUGCUUUACAAGUAAUUUCCAGUCUUGAAAAAUAAACACUGUUAACUUUAUCAACUAUAUUUUUUCAUUCACAGAAGGCUCAUCUGUUCACAUAGGAAAAAUAUAAUACUGGCAUAUGGGAAAUCAUAUCUCCAAAAAAAUAAUAAUUGUCCAUACAAAAGCAUCUCUGUUUUGAGACAGAAAAAGAUCUUCAAAGACUUUUAUCCUGUUUUUCUAUAGCACUGCACUGAAGUAUUCCACAGAGUUCUCUCAGAGGGAAGAAUAUCAUUUUUAUUCAUGCAUAUCACACUCUUAUCUUAAGCUCAGGAUCAAUCAGGAUCACACAGAGAGCAGAGGUACAUAAAAUGGGAAUGCUUUCAAUAUAACAUAUUUUCAGAUGGUUAGUCAGGAUAUAAUCUCCAUGCUGCUUACAAAAAUUGCUGCUACAUUAGCCUAUCUCUGCUUCCGUAGACAUUCCAUGCACAAAUAUCUUUUGAGCUCUGCUCUUCUUUCCUGCUUGGGAAAAAUGAGGAUCUUCUCUUUGCUCAAUUUUUUGUACCCAAAAAGCAUUGAGUAUAAGUGCAUAGGCACUUCUGAGUGUCACCUCUCUUAGUGAUAUAGAGAGCAGAAAAGGCUAGUUGAAGGGCACACAGAUCUGGACUGACAAAAGUGGUGUGAUAAAUGAACAAAGCAUAAUAAUUUGCUGGAUGCAAAGAUGGACAAAUACUGUAAUGAAUAAGGGUAACGACUGCAUUAAUUUUUUCAAGAAUUAGGAGAGUCUGAAACUGCAGUGUUGAACAACCAUAGAUAAUGAUCUGUAAGUGGGAAGAGACAGAAGAAACUGAAGAAACACAAACACGAAGUAUUGGCAAUAUUGCUGUUCUGAGACAGGAGGCUUCAGGAAGUAAUGAACACAUAAGGAAAGAGACCCAAACCUAGUUUUCUUCUAUUUUAAUCUGAUCAUUUUUGAGUUUCUAUCAAGAAUUUUAAGCUUUGAAUUUUGAGAUUAUGAACACUGAGUGUUCAGGCUUGUCUCAGAUCAGCUGUC
ensembl:lncRNA